AGCAAUGGCGGACUCCCCUCUCCUAGCCAGGCUGCAGCCUUGCUGGUCGAUCUCAGAGUGCUGUGCUAGCCGUCAUCAAGGCUCCAUGGACAUGGGACCCGCCAAGCCCGGCACUGGAGAGAAUCGCCUGAUCUGCGGGUUGCUGAGACUGUGGGAAAAGCACAGUAUUUGGAUGGGAGUUUCCCAUUUUUUCCAGAAGCUGGGCAGAGAAAUCGAGCUGCAAAAUGACCUACAGAUAUUACAGUUUUAUUCUUGGAAAAUGGAGGUUGUCUAUUAGUGUGAUGGUAACAACCAACUAAUAAAAUUUGGAGACUAG
rnacentral:lncRNA from 10 species